UACGUAGGGUCCGAGCGUUGUCCGGAAUUACUGGGCGUAAAGAGCUCGUAGGUGGUUUGUCGCGUUGUUCGUGAAAACUCACAGCUCAACUGUGGGCGUGCGGGCGAUACGGGCAGACUAGAGUACUGCAGGGGAGACUGGAAUUCCUGGUGUAGCGGUGAAAUGUGUAGAGAUCGGGAGGAACACCGGUGGCGAAGGCGGGUCUCUGGGCAUCUCCUGGACGCUGAGGCGGCGAAAAGCGUGGGGAGCAAACAGGG
rnacentral:rRNA from 1 species